rnacentral:rRNA from 1 species
GACGAACGCUGGCGGCGUGCUUAACACAUGCAAGUCGAACGGAAAGGCCCUGCUUGCAGGGUACUCGAGUGGCGAACGGGUGAGUAACACGUGGGUGAUCUGCCCUGCACUUCGGGAUAAGCCUGGGAAACUGGGUCUAAUACCGGAUAGGAGCCAUUUUUAGUGUGAUGGUUGGAAAGUUUUUUCGGUGUAGGAUGAGCUCGCGGCCUAUCAGCUUGUUGGUGGGGUAAUGGCCUACCAAGGCGGCGACGGGUAGCCGGCCUGAGAGGGUGGACGGCCACAUUGGGACUGAGAUACGGCCCAGACUCCUACGGGAGGCAGCAGUGGGGAAUAUUGCACAAUGGGCGCAAGCCUGAUGCAGCGACGCCGCGUGGGGGAUGACGGCCUUCGGGUUGUAAACUCCUUUCGCUAGGGACGAAGCUUUUUGUGACGGGACCUAGAUAAGAAGCACCGGCGAACUACGU